rnacentral:rRNA from 1 species
UACAGGGGGAUAACAGUUAGAAAUGACUGCUAAUACCGCAUAAGACCACAGCACCGCAUGGUGCAGGGGUAAAAACUCCGGUGGUAUGAGAUGGACCCGCGUCUGAUUAGCUAGUUGGUAAGGUAACGGCUUACCAAGGCGACGAUCAGUAGCCGACCUGAGAGGGUGACCGGCCACAUUGGGACUGAGACACGGCCCAAACUCCUACGGGAGGCAGCAGUGGGGGAUAUUGCACAAUGGGGGAAACCCUGAUGCAGCGACGCCGCGUGAGCGAAGAAGUAUUUCGGUAUGUAAAGCUCUAUCAGCAGGGAAGAAAAUGACGGUACCUGACUAAGAAGCACCGGCUAAAUACGUGCCAGCAGCCGCGGUAAUACGUAUGGUGCAAGCGUUAUCCGGAUUUACUGGGUGUAAAGGGAGCGUAGACGGAUGGGCAAGUCUGAUGUGAAAACCCGGGGCUCAACCCCCGGGACUGCAUUGGAAACUGUUCAUCUAGAGUGCUGGAGAGGUAAGUGGAAUU